CAUGAACUCACAGUGAGUUGCCUGACUCUACAGCCAAAUGCUGGAAUUAAAGCUGGAUUCCUGGAGCUCAGUCUGGUGCUUCGUUGUAGAUCUCUGCAUAUGGUUCCAUCAAUUAUUGAUGAAGGCUCUACUACGACAGUUGGAGUAUUUUCAAUUUGAACUUCUAACAAUAGCAAUCCUCCUGCCGCUAUCUCCCAAGUGCUGAGAUUACAGGUUUGCACUACCAUGGACUCAAUCUCCAAAUUCAUUUUCAUUCAAUUUUCUGUUCAUUAUUCAGUGAAUAUUUAUGGAGAACCUACUGUGUGGAUGGUGCUUAAACAGUGUUGGUACAACAACAAAUUCGCCAGGAGCUCAGCGUAGCAGAGUUGGGCAUUGAGCAAAUACACUGCAAUGCAGGGUGUGGGGCAUAAUAACAGAAGAAUGGCCCAGUUGAUAUCUGUGCCAGAGUGCUCAGACUUUGCGUUGUCCUAGCUGACACUAAGUGGAGCAUCAACACGCUCUUUGCCACUCCCAGCCUCUAUUAAGCAGUGGGUUCUGGAGCAGGCUGCAUGCUGCGGUUGUUUUAAGCUCUAUAUUCUAGGGCUGUUUAUUAUGAAGCAAUGGAACAACUAGAAUGAGAAUGAGAUAAAAACAUCCACAUAAAGAAAUGGUAAUGGUUGCCUUGCAAGUGCCCAGUGCUUGCAAGUAGUUACUAUUAGGGCUGUUUUAUUAUCAGCUACCAUCAUGAUAAAAAUGAUAGAUUUAAAAGGCAUAACAUUAAUCUAUCUUGGCUGUCCACUUGCAUCUCACUCUGUCUCCUGGAUCCCCUCUUUCUUCACCUGCUGGCUGCCUGGCUCAAGGUCAUUGAAGUAGCUAAGUACCUCACAUUCUGUUGACUUUACCCGGUCUAUUUCACAACUUCCCCUUCAAGCUGCUUUCAGAUUGUCCCUUCAGAUCUAUCCUUCAGAUCUAUUCUCUUACAUAGCAACCAGAGAGAGCUUUUUUUUUUUUUUUAAUUCAGAUACGUCCUACUUAAAAUCCUUCAGUGGGUCGCACGGUUAGGAUACAGCCUCCGGCCCUGAACUUGGCGUCAAGCCCUGUGCAAUCUGCUCUCUGCUUACCUCCCCAGGCUUAUCAAAGCUUACUGUGCUGCAACAAGCCUGGCUAGCCUGUACCUACUCUCAGGUCUGCCUCUGGGUUCUGGAACAUGCUGUUCUCUUUGAUCCUUCGAGUUUCUUAAGGGUCUUUUAAGGGGUUGACUCUUCCUGUUGCAGGGCUCCACCUCAGGCCUCAUUUGCUCACGGCAGACCCCAGCAGCACAUUUUAAAUGGUGAAUAAAAGAUAACUAGUGCUGAUUUGUA